rnacentral:rRNA from 1 species
CCUACGGGAGGCAGCAGUGGGGAAUCUUGCGCAAUGGGCGAAAGCCUGACGCAGCCAUGCCGCGUGAAUGAUGAAGGUCUUAGGAUUGUAAAAUUCUUUCACCGAGGACGAUAAUGACGGUACUCGGAGAAGAAGCCCCGGCUAACUUCGUGCCAGCAGCCGCGGUAAUACGAAGGGGGCUAGCGUUGCUCGGAAUUACUGGGCGUAAAGGGAGCGUAGGCGGAUAGUUUAGUCAGAGGUGAAAGCCCAGGGCUCAACCUUGGAAUUGCCUUUGAUACUGGCUAUCUUGAGUACGGAAGAGGUAUGUGGAACUCCGAGUGUAGAGGUGAAAUUCGUAGAUAUUCGGAAGAACACCAGUGGCGAAGGCGACAUACUGGUCCGUUACUGACGCUGAGGCUCGAAAGCGUGGGGAGCAAACAGGAUUAGAUACCCUGGUAGUCCACGCUGUAAACGAUGAGUGNUAGUGUCGCAUGCAUGCAUGUCGGUGACGCAGCACGACAUAAGACGACUCCGCCGUCGGGAGGUACGGUCGGUCGAGAAGUUAAACGUUAACGUAAAGAAGUUAGUACGGCGNGAGACGNGCCGACGGACGACGACGAGGGAGGAGG